ACCCAGACUCCUACGGGAGGCAGCAGUGGGGAAUAUUGCACAAUGGGGGGAACCCUGAUGCAGCAAUGCCGCGUGAAGGAUGAAGGUUUUCGGAUUGUAAACUUCUUUUGUACGGGACGAAGAAAGUGACGGUACCGUAAGAAUAAGCCACGGCUAACUACGUGCCAGCAGCCGCGGUAAUACGUAGGGGGCAAGCGUUAUCCGGAUUUACUGGGUGUAAAGGGAGCGUAGACGGCCAGGCAAGCCUGGAGUGAAAGCCCGGGGCCCAACCCCGGGACUGCUCUGGGAACUGUCCGGCUGGAGUGCGGGAGGGGCAGGCGGAAUUCCUGGUGUAGCGGUGAAAUGCGUAGAUAUCAGGAGGAACACCGGCGGCGAAGGCGGCCUGCUGGACCGCGACUGACGUUGAGGCUCGAAAGCGUGGGGAGCGAACAGGAUUAGAUACCCCAGUA
rnacentral:rRNA from 1 species